CUGUCGAUACCAACAGGAAGUGGGAUAGCUGAGCAACUGAUCUGGAUCUGCAGUGGGUCAGCGGCAGGUCAAAGCACAAGGAUUCCUGAGCUUUGCUCAGAUCAAGAGGAAGACCUAUGGGUAAGAUCUGCUACACUGCAGGAUAUUUGUAUUUCUUUCCCAGCUUGGGCCCACAUACCUGGGAAACACUGGUUUAAACAAUCUACCGUUAUUUCAUGGGAGCAUCUAUUUGUUGGCUAGGAAGAGCAGCCUCAGGCAAAUUCUGCGGAGAAAUUUCUUUUAGCUACAUAGUCUGAAUUGCAGAAGUCAAAGUUUCAGCUUGCAGCACUUCCCUGUUUUUGCAGUAGAAUGUGAACAUCUUCCAUCCAGAAUUUGGAGGGUGGGGAGACAAAAUCUAAGUGCAAUAAAUGGAACCUCAUAUGUUUAUCUUCUCUCGCAUCGUCCAUAAAAAUGGCACCCCUUCAUAUCUCUGGGAGCUUACAAAUAUUCUGUCCUGGCUAAAACUGAUAAAGCAAAGUGUGUGGUGGCAGCAUGUAAAUGGAUGUUGCCGAAUCUUGAUGGUGGAUCUCUCAAGAGAGAGAGAUCACUGCUUACACAUUUGGCCUGACUCAGCCAGUUGUCUAUUAGUAACCCAAAUGACUGGCUGCUAACAGCCUACACUAAGAGAACUAGUGAUGGGCUGGUGAUAGGCCAUUUACAGCCGCCUCAGUUAAACCCUGGGGAGAGAGAAAAUAUUACAAAGAAGCCAGACAGCAACCAGCUCAUAACUAGCUCAAGCAGCAACACACAUUAUUGCUCUGUCUGGAAGACAUGUUUUUUUAGCAAGUCUAACAUGCCAGAAUCAGAAAUAGUAACAUCCCCAGCUUUACUUACGACUGACUCACUUUCCACACAAGCUGGUAGUAGUCAAGCAGCCAUGAAAUACUCAGGUAGGCCUCACUCUGCUUGUUUGUUUAUUGCAGAGGAUUUCAACCUUUUUGAGUCCACAGCACCCUUGACCAACUACAGUGAUACCUCAGGUUAAGUACUUAAUUCGUUCUGGAGGUCCGUUCUUAACCUGAAACUGUUCUUAACCUGAAGCACAACUUUAGCUAAUGGGGCCUCCUGCUGCCGCCGCACCGCCAUAGCACGAUUUCUGUUCUCAUCCUGAAGCAAAGUUCUUAACCCAAGGUAUUAUUUAUUGGGUUAUCAGAGUCUGUAACCUGAAGCGUAUGUAACCUGAAGCGUAUGUAACCCGAGGUACCAUUGUACAUGCUUUCUGCAGCACCCCUGUGGGGCUCAGGAGCCCAGUUAUGCCACCCCUUGCCUGCAGAGCUGGCAGCCUGUGACCCUUUUGUGGCUCCACUGUUCUCCACAAAGCUUUGCCAAAGCUGGCUAAACGUUCAGCACCAAGGAAUGCGUGGCAGGCCAUUUGUUUUCUGAGUCGGAGCGCUUACAGUGUAGACAUUUCACUUAUGCUAUCAAUCUCCUCAGUGGCUCCAGCACCUUGGGGCAGAGGCUUUGCGUUUCUCUGCCUGGCUGACCAGCGGCUCUCCAAUGAUCUCCUCAUACACCACAGCUUUAGAAUGACAGUGACAACACACGUGCGCUAAAAGGAGCAAUUCCUGUGACCCGUCAAGUGUUUUUUGGACUCGGGUUGCAUCAGCCUCUUCUCUGCAUGGCCCGUGGUCAGGGAGGAUGGGAGUUUUAAUCUAGAAGCAUCCGGGGGGGGGUGUCACAGGUUCCCCAUUUGUGGGACAGCAGGAGCUCAGAGUCCACUCAGCCAUGAAGCUCGCUGGCAGACCUUGGGCCAGUCUCCUUCUCUCAGUCUAAGCUUCCUCACAGGGUUGUUGUGCAGAAGGGGAAAUCUGUGUAUGCCAUCUUGAGCUCUUUGGAGCAAAAUGUGGGAUUUAACUGGAAAGAACAGAUAAAGAAUUUCUUCUUAAUGUGCAUUUAUCAACCCUGACUAAUCAUGAGUUAUUUACCUCCCUAUCUGCUGAUCCUGGGCAGGUGCUCAGUUCUGAACCUUCUGGAACAGCUUCCCCAAACUGGGGCCUUCCUACUACAACUCCCAUCAGCACGAGACAACAUGGCCAGGAUGGGAAAAAGCUGCUUGAGAUCUUUCUUUUUAAAAAGACUUCCCCCUACAGAUGUAGAAACAUUUGCAGAGUUGGGCUUUUAAUCAACAAUCAAAGGAAGGCUAGUUCUGCAAAUGUUCCACGUAUGGCACUCCUAAUUAAAAGUCACUGAGACUUCUGGACUUGGACAGUUUGUUGCAUUAGCCUCAGGGCCACAGAUGGAUUAAUAUGUGAAACUGCACAGCUUAUCUUUUUAAAAAGUUGUUUUCACUAUAAUUGGCCUCAUUUACAAAAGCCAACAUAAAUACUCGUGCAAAACAGUACAUUGGUCUGUAGCUUUAUUUAGCAGCUGGCUACAGAUGUAGGCCCAGGAACGGGUUUCUGCUAAAAAAUUCAGUGGGUGAUUCCCCACACCCCAAUGUCAUGAUCCUAUGGACAGGGAUAAGUAAAGAGUAAGACAGCUCUCUCUCUCUCUCUCUCUCUCUCUCUCUCUCUCUCUCUCUCUCUCUCAGCCUUGCCCAACAUGGUUUCUUCCCUUCAGACGUUUGGACUUCAAACCCCAUCAGUCCCAGCCAGUUUGGCCUCCGAUCAGGAAUUAUGGGAGCUGCAGUCUGACAUUUGGUGUGUCGUGGUUUCCCAUUCCCACUCUGCACACUUAUCCGUGGGGAA